rnacentral:lncRNA from 1 species
GCUUAGGGGCUUAGGGGAUAUUAUUUGAAAUGUAAAUGAAGAAAAUAUCUAAUAAAAAAUAAAAUAAAAAAAUAAAAAUUUAAAAAAAGAAGAGAAAAUUCUCCCACUAGGAAUGAUCGAAUUUCUAUCUAGUUAAAGACACAAUUAAAAAAACAAACAAGAAACAACACACGUUUUCUGGAAAUCUAGUGGUAAGCCAGGGUAAUUCAGUAUAUUUCCAUUCUGUAUUUCUGACAUUUACAAGAAUGGGAGACAAAGCACAAAUAAAACAUUAUGUGUUUUCCUCAAAAAACAAACCACAGCUGGUGGGUUUAAUUUUAUCUCUACCAGCCAUGACAACAGCCUUUUUAAAUAUUGAAUGUGUGGAUUCAGGUUUCUACAAAACAUUUGCCACAUAAAUUUCUUUAACCACUAUUAAUUAUAUAUGAAGUAUCAGAAGUGUCCUGGCCUACUUGUGGUGGUUUUUCAGAUAGCAAAUGAGGAAUAUUCUGCAGCCAUUGAAACUAUCUAAUGCUUGUGACAUCUUGUCCUCCAAAUGAAAUGGUAGUCUUGAAGACUCCUUCGUUCUGAGUCUUACUGCCCAUUGGUGACUCUUGGACACAAAUUCAAAGUGAGUUGUAUUGACAAUUGUGGGGCUCUGCAGCAGAACUUUUCCUGAUGCGUGAAAGUCUGUUUAUGUGGUUUGAGUCAAUGGCCCUUCGCUACAUAUGGCUACUAAGCACAUGAAAUGGAGCAAAUAUAAUUAGGAAAUUACUAAUCUAGCUGGCCAUUUCUGUGUCAUGCUCCAUCACAGAAAAAGAAUGUCAGUGUUCUUACGGUGACAACGUUAGCAAACAAAAUAAAAUUUCCUUGUGAAUAAGGAAGAUAGAUUUUAUAUGGUUAUAGCUCACAAAACUGUAAGGCUUUAGAUAUAUCAAAAAUCUCAAACAAUACAGAGGAUCAGAAGGAAGAGCAGAAAGAAACACCAUGUCUAGUUUGCAGUGGGAGACAAAGGAUUAUGGGAGUAGGGAUUCACACAACCAUUCUUGGUACUUUAGCAGAUAGAACUUCUUUAUAAUGACAUUCCAGAUGCUGGGAAAU